UCCCUGAGAAAUAACAUUAGCAGUGUACAGCUUUAAGACGCACUGGUUCAGAUAUAAAUCUGAUCGACUUGCAGCCGUGGCCUACAGAACUCCAACUCUCUAAGAGAAGAACUGACAGCACCAGUAAGAACAGCCUUGAUUCAAGAUGAGACUUUUCUUCAUUAUCGCCCUGUUCGUUGUCUUCGUCCUCGAGACAGCCAAGGCCAAUGAACUGGCAAGGUACGUGGCUUGCACGCUCCGGAAUCAUCUUACCUUCACGUGUGCUGAAUGGAUAAAAGAUGUAGUACCACACAGAAGACGUACUCAGCAUCAGUGGUGCAGACUUGUGUAUAGAUCUGAGGAUGAGUUUUAUGAGAAUGAUUGCACAGAGAAUGACUACGCACUCGCGCGUAGUAUCGUUUGCGGUCGAAUACCCAGACCACCAAGGUGUUUAGCACUUUGGUGAUUAAUAGAAGCAAAAGUUAAUGGUUGAAACUUUUAUUAAGUAUACUACAGAGUUUAAAACUAAACACAAAUUUAUUCUAAUAGUUUUAAUCAUCUAAAGAGGGGGAGGGGGGACAGUUUUUUUUAACUAAAUGUUCAGAAAUCGAUAUACUUCAAUAAAACAAAAAUAUAAUG
rnacentral:sRNA from 1 species